UACAGAGGUCUCGAGCGUUAGGCGGAAUCACUGGGCUUAAAGCGUGUGUAGGCGGAUAUCUAAGUACCUUGUGAAAUCCCACGGCUCAACCGUGGAACUGCUGGGUAUACUGGAUAUCUUGUGCAACCUAGGGGCGAGCGGAACAGAUGGUGGAGCGGUGAAAUGCGUAGAUAUCAUCUGGAACGCCAAUGGUGAAAACAGCUCGCUGGGGGUUUGCAGACGCUGAGACACGAAAGCCAGGGGAGCGAACGGG
rnacentral:rRNA from 1 species